rnacentral:rRNA from 1 species
GGGGGGGGGGGGGGGGGGGGGGGGGGGGGGGGGGGCGGGGGGGAGGGGCGGGCGUGGGGGGGGUGCUCGAGUGGCGAACGGGUGAGUAACGCGUGAGUGACCUGCCCUUGACGUGGGGGUAACGUCAGGAAACUGGGGCUAAUACCGGAUAGGAGCGCCUGCUGCAUGGGGGGGGUUGGAAAGUUUCGGCGGGUGGGGAUGGACUCGCGGCUUAUCAGCUUGUUGGUGGGGUAGUGGCUUACCAAGGCUUUGACGGGUAGCCGGCCUGAGAGGGUGACCGGCCACAUUGGGACUGAGAUACGGCCCAGACUCCUACGGGAGGCAGCAGUGGGGAAUAUUGCACAAUGGGCGGAAGCCUGAUGCAGCAACGCCGCGUGCGGGAUGACGGCCUUCGGGUUGUAAACCGCUUUCGCCUGUGACGAAGCGUGAGUGACGGUAAUGGGUAAAGAAGCACCGGCUAACUACGUG